GACGUCGUGGCCGAGUGGUUAAGGCGAUGGAUUGCUAAUCCAUUGCUCUCUGAGCGCGUGUGUUCGAAUCACAUCGACGUCG